rnacentral:lncRNA from 1 species
UUUUUUUUUUUUUUUUGUCUUUUUAGGGUCACAGCCGCGGCAUUUGGAACUUCCCAGGCUAGGGGUCCAAUCAGAGCUCUAGCUGCCAACCUAAACCACAGCCACAGCAAUGCCAGAUCCUAGCCAGGUCUAUGACCUACACCACAGCUCACGGCAACACCGGGUCCCCAACCCACUGAGUGAAGCCAGGGUUUGAACCCUCAUCCUCAUGAAUACUAGUCGGGUUCGUUAACCUCUGAGCCACGACGGGAACUCCUCAUUGCCAGGUGACUUUCAACCAGUCACCAGUACCCCUAGAGACAUCCACUUAUUACCAUAAUUGGCUAGGGAAAAAAAACUAGUCCUUGAUAAAGCUGAGGCACAUACUUAAGACAUUCAUAUCUCAAGUUACUUUGCAAACAACAUAUUAAACCUCCAGCCUCUUUGUCUUCUGGUUUUACAGGUGUGUACUAAGAAGUUAAGCAACUCAAACAUCAUAAGAAGAUAAAAAGUAAGUUCAAUUUCCUCUUGUAGCACUCCUCCUGAACAAAGUCAUUUCCUGAUGUACUGCAAGAGUCCGUUAAUCAUCCCCACCCCAUUAAAUCGACUCGCUUUCAUUAUGGGUUUCUAAUCCAGUUGGGCAUGAACAACUGGGCACAGGAUAUGCUUCCCAUGAAUUUCACUUUUUAUUUUAAUACCUACUUCCUUCACCUAUUUUCUCUGGCUUACCUUUCAUCUUCUCCUCCCUAAUCCCUCAGCUUCCCAAUGUCCUGGGAUACAGUGGGUUCAAAGAAGCUGUGACAAUGCCCUCUCUUCACAUCAGUCCAGUCUCGCCUCCAUUGCGAGCUCAAUCCUGUGCUCCACUGGUGCCCAGCAGUAGUCUGAUCUCAGGGUUAAGAGCAUAACUACAGGAAGAGAUUUUGUAGGCAGAGACCCUGAGCUAUAAUAGCAAGCUCUCUCAUCCCCUCCUUCAAUGCCUUCUGAAACAGCAUUGUUCUCUUUUAUGGCUUUUUUUCUCUUACUGAAGAUUAGUUUACUUACAACGUUGUGUUAGUUUCUGGUGUACAGCAAAGCGAUUCAUACACACACACACAUAUGUAUCACACAUAUAUGUAUACAUAUAUGUUCUUUUCCAUUACGGUUUAUCAUGGGAUAUUGAAUAUAGUUCCUGUGCUAUAUAGUAGGAUCUUGUUGUUUUUCUAUUUUAUGUAUAGUAGUUUUUAAUCUACUCUUCCCAAAGUCCUAAUUUCUCCCUCCUCCACCCUGCUUCCACUUUGGCAACUGUAGGUUUGUCUUCUAUAUCUGUGAGUCUGCUUCGGUUCUGUAAAUAAGUUUGUGUCUUAGACUCUAUAUGUAAGUGACACCAUAUGGUAACUGCCUUUCUCUGUCUGACUUUUCACUUAAUAUGAUCAUCUCUGGGUCCAUCCAUGUUGCUGCAAAUGGCAUUAUGAAACAACAUUUUGAAACAGGUGUAAAAAGUCACAUCCAGCCCAUCUUCUUUCUGCUGCACAAGGUCAAAAGGAUAAGAAUCAAGGGCUGGUCACUCCAGUCAUUCUCCUUGCUCAUUCUGCCAGGGUAUGAGAGUCCAGGGAGAAAUUAGCUUCAGAAUUAUAGUCUGAGCACCUUGGCCUUCUCUAAAAUGAAUGUUUCAAAAAUGCCCCAUAGACAGAUCAUUAAAACCUCCUUAGGCAUUGCCACAGGAGGGCUUCUUAGGGCCACAAAUCUUGCCAUAGAGAUAAAGUAUUUAUCCAGUCAGCACUUCCGCAGCCUGCUGGUGGCUGGUGAAGGAUUUAGCAAGGUGGUUCUUCCAGCUUCCUCACUUCACAAAGUACCUCUUGGGGGUGAGCUGACCGUGGGCAGAACACAUCUCUUUCCUGAACCUCAGUUUCCUUAUCUGUAAAAGCAAAGAGAUUUGACCAAAGCCUGCAAGUCUGGCUUGUAAGGAGAUGGCUUCAAGAGCACUGCUCCCCCUUGCAAUUCCAAAGAGCCCGGAUUGCAUACACCAGAGGGGCUGGUUAAAUACAGGGUGGCCUGGCCUUGAAGAAAUUAACAGUCCCCAAACUCAAACAGAAUAAAUGGUGACAGGCCAUUUAACCUGAAUAUUAGGCAAUGGGAGCAGACAUCUCUCAGGUGUCUGUCUGCUCAGCUUCCCAGAAAUCCCCUUUUCUCUUGAAAAUGGUCUCCCAAGCAAUUCACAAUGGUGGGAUUCCAGUGGAAGCACUGGUGACCCCACCUCUUCUGAUGACAGGCCAGCAGUAGACACUUGAUCCACAGAGAGCACACCAGAACCUCUCCUCCAGAAAUUCAGAAUUGAUUGUGAGACUACAAGUCAGUCUCCACCUAAGACUAGGGUUGUAAUGUGUUUUAUGGGCUUCCCUGGGUCAAGGAAAAGGCAUGCUCACCCUCCACCUAUUCUUCUAGCCUUUGAACUUUAAAAUAUGAGGUGUUCAUUCUUAUAGAAUUCCAACUGCCUAGACAUGUCUGCCCUACAAAACUUUUACCAUUUCUCCUAGGAUGGAAUACACAAAGUGGGGGGAGGUGAAAAAUUGCAACUGUGUAACCAUCCUUUGGUGCCAGAAGAGCCCCUCUGUUGGUUUGCCUGGCCUGGAGGGAGGGUGUGGUGGCUUAUAGGUAUAGACCAUCUUGGCAGGUGAAGUUAAAGAUGACACUGAAGGUAACUUCCUAAAUUAGUGAUUGAGAGCUGGGAAGCCCAUACCAUCAUUUGCUCCCCUUGCACUGGCCUCGGUGGCACUUGAAUAACAUGAUCCUGGCACUUCCAGCAAAUGUGAAGUCUAAUGGGACUCCUCUCUGGAGCCUAUACAUAGACUUCAGAGGCCAUGCCAGGGCUAGGCAGUGAGGGGCAAUGGGGAGUUGUCAAAGGUCUAUGCAACACGGCCCCUGGGUUAAAGGGCAGUCAUGGUCAGGCAAGUGGGCCAAAGAAGAGAAUGUUGUUCUGCUGGUGGAGAAAGGGUGUCCUGCGUUCUCUUUUCAUUACCUGGAGUUGCUUUCUAUUGCCAGCAACCCAAGGGCCUAACUUACACAGCAAACCUGACAGUGAAGAUCCAAUCUGAAAGCUUCUUGAGAGUCCAUGAGAACAGGGUAUUAGAAAAGAGGGUGACAAGUCUUGUGGGCUGCCAACCGCUCCGUCGAUGAGACAGUGCCAGACAUUUGCACCACAACCUGCCCUCAGCUUCCCCUUUUCUGUGCUGCAAACAACCCUUUCAGUUCUUUACACUAUACUAAGUUUGCUCUCACUGGCCUCUCAGAGUGACUUCGGAGAAGAGCCAUUGGUAGGUGUUAGGCUUCCUUCUGGCCUGGUGCUCAAAGCAGUGAGCUGGAAGGGACAGCAUGAUAGGUAGAACAGCUAAAAAAGAAAACAGAACUCUGGAUCAGCAGGCCCAGGCAACUGGUGAGCUGUGUGUCCUUGGGCAAGUCCCUUACCCUCUCUGGCUCUCACUGAACUCUGCUGUAAAAAGAGGAGGGAAGAGCAGAUGAUGGCCAAGUUCCUAUGAGCAGAAGGUGUGGUGUGGACCCUCUCACCUCCUUCUCUGGUAACACCUCUCUCCUGGGCAAUCCCAAUGAUGGUUACUCCCCCGGAAAGGUGUCCGAGCCUUCUCCAGAUGCUGGUGCCCAAAGGGAGGGAGCUCUGAUUGGGAUUCACUCCACACUUCUUUCCUGCAUCACCAGAACUGCUCACUUGAAUUGAUGAGUCAAGGACAGCCAGUCUGGCUACUCUGGCAAUAGACAGACGAGUUUAUUAGAAGCAAACACCAGGCUUUCAGUUCACGUUAGUCUGGUCCUUGGAUUUGCUUGAUUGCACAUUCAGAGACAGGCACUGCAGGCGGAGUGACCUCGGCUGCCAGCCCACUCCACUGGUCCAGACCCAGCUAUUACCAACCGCCUGCUUAAACCAGGCCUGCAGGGAGCUGAGCCUGGCCAACAGAUGAAACUGCAAAUUAGUGGUUGAGGUUGCUUCUUGUUCCUCACACAGGAGAGUUUCCAUUGGUAGCCAGGCCUGUUGAAGCUGCCCUUGGGGACAGCUGCACAGGGUGUUCAGCCUCCAGGAGCCUCCUCCCUCGUGGGUUGGGACAUCUGUUAAGCCUGUCCAUCAUUCUUUCCCAGAAUCAGAGGUAGGUCCUGAGACACUUAGCUCCUCAUUGCAAAAGCCUUCCCUGAGCACCUGGGUUUCCUUACGUGAGGGAUCCACAAAUGGAAGCCUCUCCAUGAAGAUUUCACAGUAGCAUACGAUCCAUAGUUAAUUACAUUUACUAGCUGUGUAACCAACCCUAGGCCUGUCUGAGCCUUUGUUUCCUCAACUGUAAAUGGGAAUAACAAGGCUGCCCAUCUCACUGGGUUGAUGUAAGGAAUAAAUAAACACAGGCUAAGUACUUAGAAGAAGGCCUGCACAUGGCAAAUGCUCAAUAAAUCUUAGCCAUUAUGACUGUCACUAAUUUGGUCAAGGGACGUCGGAUAUGGAAGGCAGCUGGAAGAAGGCAACUUUAAUUUCACCAUUGAAAAGCACUCCAUCUAUUAAAGAAUCAAAAUGUUCCUUGUAUUCAGAUGGAAUUAUUUAGACACAGGCUCUAUAAAAUGUAAUCACUUAUGAGAUUUUACAUUUUUAAGAUAAGACAUGUUAUUGAACAUACAAGCUGAGAGAAGCUAGGAGAAUGGAAGGGUCUGGUACCUUUCACUCAUUCUGGAAGACAAUCCCUCAGGCCUCUGGCCUGCCUCCCCAUGGGGUGACACACCCUCCACUCUGAACAAGAAACCUUCAGGACAGAGAUGUUAAAGAAUUUGCCCACUGCACGUGAUUCAAAACCAGUUCUACCUGGAUCCAAAGCAUCUGCUGUUUCAACCUCUCCAUCCUGUCAAGUAUUUGCCAGGUAGGUACUCUGGAAGAGACACAGAGAGAGGACAUGGCCCCAAAUCCAAGGUGCCAUCACCCUGAAAGGAACACCUAAUAUUAUACAGAAGGCCUGAAAUAUAGUUGAGAAAAAGCUCCCAGCAAUCAAAAGGAAAUAGGGGAGUUCUCGUUGUGGCUCAGCAGGUUAAGAACCCAACUAGUACCUAUGAGGAUGUAGGUUUGACCCUUGGCCUCGCUCAGUGGGCUAAGGACCUGGCAUUGCCACAGCUGCAGCAUAGGCACAGAUGCAGCUCAGAUCCCACAAUGCUGUGGCUGUGGCAUAGGCCUGAAAACUUCCAUGUGCUGCAGGUGUGGCCCUAAAAAAAAAUUAGAGGAUCAAAACAAGAGAUCUAAUAUCCAACAAAUAAGCUUUCUAGGAUAAGUGAGAAAAUGAAGAGAGGAAUUUAAAGAAAUAUAAGAAAAUUCCCCAGAACUGAAAGGUCUGAGCUGAUUGAAAAGAAUCUGCUAAGGAUACAGACAAACUGGGGGUCAGGGAUGCACCAUCAUGAAAUUUCCUAUCGUCGGAGAUAAAGAGAAUAUUCUAGAGGUGUUUGGAGAAGAGAAACAAGACACACACAAAAGUUUGGAGCCAAGAUGGCCCUGGAGUUCUCUCCAGCAACACUGGAAAUAACAACAACAAAAAUAGAGCUACAGUCCCACAGUUCUGAGUACAAACCACUUGCCACCUAGAUUUCAGUUUUAAGAAAGCGUUAGUGGGAGUUUCUGCAGUGGCGAAGUGGUUAACGAAUCCGACUAGGAACCUCCAGCCAAUGUCAUUUUAAAUCAUGCAUUCAGAGUUGUGCUCAUAAACCAACUCUAUAUAAAACAAAGAAACAAAAAAUACCUUGAACAUUUGCAAUUUCCAUGAUGUAAAUACUCCCACUGUGGUGAAUUUCAAGGUACAGACAGCCUGCCUCUCACAGGUGGACUGGAGCAGGGAGGGGAGGUGGACAAACUCCUAAGGCAAAGGUGAAGCCCAGAACAGCUGAGAAUGCAACCGGCUUGCCCACACCCCUGCCCACCCCCUUUCCUCUUCCACUGUCAGAAUCUAGCUAUGAAAGUCACUUUUCCUGGAGCCGUGAUAAAGAAAACCAGUCUAAAAGUAAACUCCCAAAGAUAGGUUUCAAAAAGCUGGUUUUCAAAAGCCAAGGGAAGACCAAAUAGGUCAAAAGCUGAGAUUAUCUCAGGUACAACCAAGAGCAAAUAGCAAGGAGUCAGUCAAGCUGUGGACAUCAGCUGCCUCCAAUUUGAUUUAUUUCCAGAGCUGGUAAUAGGAUAAAGGAUGAUUUAAACACUGGGUCCUGCACUUUAAGGAGCAUUAGAAUCAUUGGGGUGGGGGGCGGGGAGGAGUUCCCGUUGCGGCUCGACCGGUCCCCAACAUAGUAUAUGUGAGGUUGUGACUUCCAUCCCUGGCCUACCUCAGUGAGUUAAAGUUCCAACAUCGCUGCAAGCUGCACCGUAGGUUGAAGAUGCUGUUUGGAUCUGUGGUGUUGCUGUGGCUGUGGAAUAAGCAAGCAGUUGCAGCUCAGAUUCAAUCCCUAGCCUGGGAACUUCCAUGUGCUGCAGGUGCAGCUUUAAAAAGAAAAAGAAAAAAGAAUUUUCUGGGGGUGGGCUUGGUAAACGCAGAUCACAGGGCCCCAACGUCAUCGCACCUGAUUCUUAGUCAGUCUCAGGUCGGGCUCCAGAGAUUGAAUAUUUUUAAAGAGCUCCCAGGUGAUUCCUAUGCUCCCUGCCCAGAAAACACGUUUUGAGAACCAUUGGCCUAGAUGGUUCAAAUAACCAAAAAAAAAAGAAGAGACUUCAGUCAAUGAGUUGUUGGAUGGAGUCUACAUGUGUAUUCAAGGAAUGAAGACAGGUUCUGUUCCUUCUAAACACAUGAUUACAAUGGUUUUCAGUUCAUGUCUUGAUAAUUUACAGAUCUAAAAGGUAAUUUUAUCUUUACCAGAUUGAACAUAUAUUUGGGAUCUACUGUAAAUUUCCACCAGCCUUCAGUCUAGCUUAGCAAGAAAGGAAAGUCCGAAGUCAUUUUGAGUGCUUUACAUGUGUAAAUGCAUUGGACCUCCCGGAAACUAGGUUAUUACUAUUGUCAUUGCUGUUUUAGAAACCAGAGCAGAGAUGAAUGUAUUAAGAAGAUGUGGUAUAUAACACACAAUGGAAUACUACUCAGCCAUAAAAAAGAACAAAAUCAUGCCAUUUGCAGCAACAUGGAUGGAACUAGAGACUCAUACUAAGUGAAGUACAUCAGAAAGAGAAAUACCACAUGAUAUCACUUAUAUCUGGAAUCUAAUAUAUAGCACAAAUAAAGCUUUUGUGAUCAGCAGCCUGUGCACUGGGGGUGGAGGUGGGGAGGGGUAUUCCCAUGCCCCUCCCCCAAGUGUGUGCCUUCACCUUCCACUGUCCCUCCAGUCUCACUGAUGGCAGAGCAGGAAUGAAACUCAGGUUCUUUACUUUCUUGCGCUGUAGUCUCUGAAGCUCGUCUCAGAAUAACAUUUUAUUCUUGACAGAAUAAAAAGGAAAUCAUCUGCACUGAAAUAUUGUUAUCAAAACACUUUUUUUGUACAGUAACAUGUAGUGAUAACAGACAUUACUAUAUAUAAAAGGACAUGAACAAAAUCUAGGAGCUGGCCUAGUAACUGCCAUAAAUUUAAAGUAGUUAACCAUAUUCUGAGAUAUUUGAAACAACUUUCAAUGUGCUAUAAAAAUAGUUGUGGUUUCUACCGGUGGCAGGUAUAGGUCUGCUAAUGUUAUUGUGGUUUGUCACCUAUAUUCAUAAUUAAAGGAAAUGUCAGUUUUCAAUUAGAGAAAUUCAGAAUUCUAAACCCUAUUUUAAGUCAGUUUCAACAAGUCUAAAUAAAGUUUCAUGCCACUCAAAUUUACAUUUUCACCUUAUUUUUCAUUAUUCCUUUAAAAAUAUGGCUCCAGGAUUCCUUGCCUUUUUUUUUUCUUUCAUUUUAAAACUUGGAAUGAGUGAUAUUUGUGGUUCAGUAAUUACCCUAGGGUCUACUAUACAAAACACAAAACACACUCACAUUUGCGUCUCAAUAGGUCUUAGCAAAUGUCAUAGAUCCAACCUAAUUUCUAAAAUACAUUAAAAAAUCUCCAGUUAAAAAUAAUUAUAUUUUGAGCUACGGGCCUAUCUUUUCAUAAUCAUAAACUCAAAGAAAUCUUGUCUGUAGGGUGCUGCACCAAAUCAGAUCUGGUGCUCAAGGCAAAGCAUUUUUGGCUCCUUAUAACACAUUCCACUCCAUUCCCUGCUGGGUCUUAAUUAAUGGCCUGUUCCCCCCACCCCCGGGUGGCGGGGGGUGCAGGGGGGGAACCAUUCCACCAAAAAACUUUAUUCUCUUC